GACGAACGCUGGCGGCGUGCCUAAUACAUGCAAGUCGAACGAGAGCGACCGGUGCUUGCACUGGUCAAUCUAGUGGCGAACGGGUGAGUAACACGUGGGUAACCUGCCCAUCAGAGGGGGAUAACAUUCGGAAACGGAUGCUAAAACCGCAUAGGUCUUCGAACCGCAUGGUUUGAAGAGGAAAAGAGGCGCAAGCUUCUGCUGAUGGAUGGACCCGCGGUGCAUUAGCUAGUUGGUGAGGUAACGGCUCACCAAGGCCGUGAUGCAUAGCCGACCUGAGAGGGUGAUCGGCCACAUUGGGACUGAGACACGGCCCAAACUCCUACGGGAGGCAGCAGUAGGGAAUCUUCCGCAAUGGACGCAAGUCUGACGGAGCAACGCCGCGUGAGUGAAGAAGGUUUUCGGAUCGUAAAACUCUGUUGUUAGAGAAGAACAAGUGCUAGAGUAACUGUUAGCGCCUUGACGGUAUCUAACCAGAAAGCCAC
rnacentral:rRNA from 1 species